UACGAAGGGUGCAAGCGUUACUCGGAAUUACUGGGCGUAAAGGGUGCGUAGGUGGUUGUUUAAGUCUGCUGUGAAAGCCCCGAGCUCAACCUGGGAAUGGCAGUGGAUACUGGACAGCUAGAGUGCGGUAGAGGGUAGUGGAAUUCCCGGUGUAGCAGUGAAAUGCGUAGAGAUCGGGAGGAACACCAGUGGCGAAGGCGGCUACCUGGACCAGCACUGACACUGAAGCACGAAAGCGUGGGGAGCAAACAGG
rnacentral:rRNA from 1 species